rnacentral:rRNA from 1 species
UGGUGGAGUGAUUUGUCUGGUUAAUUCCGUUAACGAACGAGACCUUAACCUACUAACUAGUUACGCGAAGCAUGCUUCGUGGAUAACUUCUUAGAGGGACUAUUGGUGUUUAACCAAUGGAAGUUUGAGGCAAUAACA